rnacentral:rRNA from 1 species
UACGAAGGGGGCUAGCGUUGUUCGGAAUUACUGGGCGUAAAGCGCGCGUAGGCGGACCUGCAAGUCGGGGGUGAAAGCCCGAGGCUCAACCUCGGAACUGCCUUCGAUACUGCGGGUCUCGAGUCCGGGAGAGGUGAGUGGAAUUCCUGGUGUAGCAGUGAAAUGCGUAGAUAUCAGGAGGAAUACCGAUGGCGAAGGCAGGUCUCUGGGCUGACACUGACGCUCAUGCACGAAAGCGUGGGGAGCAAACAGG